rnacentral:rRNA from 1 species
AGAGUUUGAUCCUGGCUCAGGAUGAACGCUAGCGACAGGCUUAACACAUGCAAGUCGAGGGGCAGCACAGGUAGCAAUACCGGGUGGCGACCGGCGCACGGGUGAGUAACGCGUAUGCAACUUACCUAUCAGAGGGGGAUAGCCCGGCGAAAGUCGGAUUAAUACCCCAUAAAACAGGGGUCCCGCAUGGGAAUAUUUGUUAAAGAUUCAUCGCUGAUAGAUAGGCAUGCGUUCCAUUAGGCAGUUGGCGGGGUAACGGCCCACCAAACCGACGAUGGAUAGGGGUUCUGAGAGGAAGGUCCCCCACAUUGGUACUGAGACACGGACCAAACUCCUACGGGAGGCAGCAGUGAGGAAUAUUGGUCAAUGGCCGAGAGGCUGAACCAGCCAAGUCGCGUGAAGGAAGAAGGAUCUAUGGUUUGUAAACUUCUUUUAUAGGGGAAUAAAGUGGAGGACGUGUCCUUUUUUGUAUGUACCCUAUGAAUAAGCAUCGGCUAACUCCGUGCCAGCAGCCGCGGUAAUACGGAGGAUGCGAGCGUUAUCCGGAUUUAUUGGGUUUAAAGGGUGCGUAGGUGGUGAUUUAAGUCAGCGGUGAAAGUUUGUGGCUCAACCAUAAAAUUGCCGUUGAAACUGGGUUACUUGAGUGUGUUUGAGGUAGGCGGAAUGCGUGGUGUAGCGGUGAAAUGCAUAGAUAUCACGCAGAACUCCGAUUGCGAAGGCAGCUUACUAAACCAUAACUGACACUGAAGCACGAAAGCGUGGGGAUCAAACAGGAUUAGAUACCCUGGUAGUCCACGCAGUAAACGAUGAUUACUAGGAGUUUGCGAUACAAUGUAAGCUCUACAGCGAAAGCGUUAAGUAAUCCACCUGGGGAGUACGCCGGCAACGGUGAAACUCAAAGGAAUUGACGGGGGCCC